AGAUUUUUGUGAGUAAAACAGACGAGAAAGUUUGGAACAAAUUUGAAACAGUUGAAAAGUCUUCUCCAGUGUUAGAUAUUAAAGUACUGGACAAAGAUGUUUAUGUUUUGACACAUAAUAUGGUAAUCAGACAUAGAAAUAAAAAAAUAAGAUAAAAGUAAAAUAGAAUUUGCAUUUAUAAGUAAAAAAGGUAUUCAGUGUGAGAUCUAGUGCUGUCAAUUUCAUCUCUUGUUUGUCAAUUAAAUUUUCAAAUUGACCAAUGAAGCUUAAAGCUGCAUCGUGACAAUGUUAAUAUUAUACUUUUUUAGUAAAUUAUUAUUAAUCCUGGCACUUAUUUAAAUCUUAUACUGACAAUAUAAAUGAGAACCUUAGUCUAUAAACCUUGAAAUAGUAAAAUGCAAUAGACAUUCUUUGUUGUAUGUAUUCCUAGAGCAAACUUAGUCAAUACUGACACUUCUCUUUAUUUUAAUUAUUGCGAACCAAAUGAAAGUUUUCAUGUCAGAGACAUAUAUCCUCUUGGUCAGGGUACUUAAACUUUUGUUUGUUUUAUUGUCCCAUUGUAUUUGCUCCCUAUGUAAUUUAAUCACUGGGACCUUUACAUUUCUUCUUAGAGAAAUCCAUUACAUACCUUGAUCAAGAGGAGAUGACUCUGGAAACUUUCAUUUGGUUUGUAAUAAUGAGUAAAGCAUUAAAUAAAUACUUCUUUAGAAUUUUGAAUUUAGAAGGGAUUAGGCAUAGUACAUUAAAAUAAAAGCAACUGCAUUGUAACAUUAUAGUUCCCUGAUACUUUUAAAAUACAAUGAUGGUUCAUGAUCAGGUUAUGUAGUGCCUUCCUUAAGUAACAAAAGAUAACAACUGAGUGAAUUCAAGCUACAGAAAAGUGGAAAAAUUCUUCAAACUGUUGGACAAAAAGCAAGUAUUUCCCAAAUAAAAAGAAUUGCUGAAAUAAUUUUAAAAGCAAGUUUCCCUGUAUGAAGUUAAAUUACAUCUGUGUUUACCAAAAGAAGAUAGUAUGUAAUACAGUUAAGUGUUUCAAUAUUACAGGUUGUAAAAGAUGAGGAGAAACCAUGUCCUGUUAACACGACAAUGACAUGUAAAGAUUGUAUGGAGCUGACAAAUCCUGUUUGUGGUUGGGAUAUUAUUUCGAAAAGGUUGUUAAAAAUAAUUAUAAAAUAACUUAGUAGAUUCUUUGUUGAUAAUAUGUAAAAAAAAAAAAAAAAAAAAGGGGAACAAUCAGCAAUCAGUCAAUUAAAAAAAACUUCUUUAUUCUCGGCUUCAUAUGUUUCACUUAACUGUUUUUAAUCUAAAUUUUCUAAAAAUUUCUUUGUACAUUUUGUUCUAUUGACAUGACAAUUUGCACUUUAGCCAUUUUGACAAAAUAAUCAUAAAUUUACUACUAGUACCUGAAAUACAGAGUGAAUAUACCUACUUAAUGUAGUUUCAUUAAAAAAUUUAUUUCGUUGUAACACUUCCGGAACCAAAUGAGAUUGUGCUGCGCAUGUGUGAACUUCAGUGUGCUGAUAGCUCUUGGGCAGUUCGGACGUAGUUUGAAUUGUCCUAACUUCAGAUUAAAUUGAAUCAAAGAAGUUGAUUUUCAUUUUAUUAUUAAUAAAAUUUUAUAUUUAAAUAAAUAAAAGUUAGUAAUCACCCGAUGUAAUUCGAUAAAAUUUUACGACUUUUACCUGUUUUCGGCACUUUGCAGUAAACCGGUUAUUAUAAAGAAAACACAUGGCGGAGAAAAUGAUUGAGAAGGGGUCCGUCUCAAAUAAAAGAAAGUCUUCGCAUGAAGAU
rnacentral:lncRNA from 1 species